UUGCUGAAUGAUUGGUUGUUGUGGCUUAACACUGCCUCUGCCGGUCCCAAGCCCGGAUGUGAAAAUGUGGAGGGAGUCUGUUUCUUGUGUGCAAGUGCUACAUUGUGUGUGUGACUGUAUGUGUGAUGUGUCCGUAUCUAUGUCUGUUUCUUUUGUCUUGAUUGUGUGCAAGUGCUUGAUUGGGUGUGUGCUUGUGUGACCUGCGUGUAUUGCAUUUGCUUGACGGUGUGGUUUGUAUAACUUGUGUUUUAUAUGUCAGGAUUGAUUGUUGUUUGUUGAAUUUGAACAGAUCUAACACUAUUCUUUUUUCUAAACUUUUUUGUGAUUAUGAAUGUGGAUACCAUACUCUUUUGUAUUAUUGUUGUCCAAUCACUGGAAUAAUGCUUUUCUAAGUAUUUAAGGUACAACCAUGUAGAUCUAGACAUGAUGCUGAUGGGUUGGGUUUGCAUACAAUGCAGUAUGGACCAACAAAAUGGUCUCAUUGCAAGGUGGACAUAUAGGCAAGACAUGUCAAGAGAGAGAGAAGCUUGGACUAUUGAGGAGGAACAUGCACUGAUUAAUGCCCAUCGGGUAUAUGGGAAUAGAUGGGCAGAAAUAGCAAAAGUUCUUCCUAGAACGAAUCGGGUACUUCUAUUUGUUCUUAGGUUCUUCUCACCUAUAGCUAAAGUCAAAGACGACAAAACCAAGUGGAUUAUUGGAGUUACAAGAUACACAAAAUCAUCGGUCAUCUAAAUCUUCUUUUCUAAUAUGACUGUUGGUGCUGCUCAUGAGGCUAGCCACCGGCUUGGAAGCGAUGAGAGGCAAUCACUGUUGUCAACUUGAAACGUAUAAUUUUUUAGGAACGAAGAUCUGAAUCACCCUCCCGCCUCGAGAGAAAUCAGUUUAGUCAUUCAGAGAGAAGCUUGGACUAUUGAGGAGGAACAUGCACUGAUUAAUGCCCAUCGGGUAUAUGGGAAUAGAUGGGCAGAAAUAGCAAAAGUUCUUCCUAGAAGGAAUCGGGUACUUCUAUUUGUUCUUAGGUUCUUCUCACCUAUAGGUAAAGUCAAAGAAGACAAAACCAAGUGGAUUAUUGGAGUUACAAGAUACACAAAAUCAUCGGUAAGUUUCUAUCCUUUCAAAUGGGCGGAUUAUGAAUUUUGAUCAGUUUGUCUGACUUGUUUUGAACUGAAUCCUUGAUUCCGUGAUAACUUUGAUCAUAAACUGAUUCCCAAGUAUUUUUGACUCAUAUGAUGCUUAUUACUCCCUCCAUUCCUUUAUAUAAGGUGUAUUUAUUUUUUGAUAAAAUUCCAUAAUGUAAGGUGCAUUUCUUCUAAUUCCUCAUAAUUCCCUUAUUAGACAUCUAGAAAAAUGGAAAGUAUCCCUCUCCUGAUUGUCUGUAUCUCUCCUUUAGCAAAAGAAGGAAAGUAUCUCUCUGUCGAUUGCAUGCAUCUCUUACUUUCCUGGACUAAUUGAUUUACUUACCACUAAUCAACAAAUUUGCCAAGGGUAUUUCAGUCCUAACAUGUCUAUAAUUUCGUGCCUUGGUCACCGUGCUGAAAAUAAUACACCUUACAUAAUCGUAUGGAGGGAGUACAUCACAGGUCAUCUAAAUCUUCUUUUCUAAUAUGACUGCUUGUGCUGCUCAUGAGGUAAGCUACUUUUCUUGCUUUCAAGAAUAAAUCAUUCACAUCGUGGUCACUCACAUUUUAAGGUGCUCAUGCCAUUUCAGGCUAGCCACCGGCUUGGAAGCGAUUUUAGGAACGAAGAUCUGAAUCACCCUCCCGCCUCGAGAGAAAUCAGUUUAGUCAUUCAGGUUCUGGUAUUUCUUUAUAGCUUUCUGAGUUUACCUCGGUCUUUCAUGUAUUUGCUUUCUGUUUGUGCCCCUAUCUAUUUCUGUUUCUUGUGUGCAAGCGCUCCAUUCUGUGUGUGUCCGACUUUGUGUGGCUUGACUCUCUUGUGUGUGUGGCUUGACUGUCUGUGUGUGUCCGACUUUAUGUGGCUUGACUCUCUUGUGUGUGUGGCUUGACUGUCUGUGUGUGUCACUGUGUGUUUGACUGUGUGUGAAUAUUGCAUUUGACUGUGAUGCGUUACUGUGUGUUUGACUCUGUGUGUGUGAUUGUGUGAAUAUUGUGCAUUUGACUGUGAUGUGUGACUGUGUGAGUAUUGUAUUUUGACAAUGACUGUGUAUGGCUUGACUGUGUGUGUGGCUUGUAUGCUUUGCUGAAUGAUUGGUUGUUGUGGCUUAACACUGCCUCUGCCGGUCCCAAGCCCGGAUGUGAAAAUGUGGAGGGAGUCUGUUUCUUGUGUGCAAGUGCUACAUUAUGUGUGUGACUGUGUGUGUGUUGUGUCUGUAUCUAUGUCUGUUACUUUUGUCUUGAUUGUGUGCAAGUGCUUGAUUGGGUGUGUGCUUGUGUGACCAUGCGUGUAUUGCAUUUGCUUGACGGUGUGGUUUGUAUAACUUGUGUUUUAUAUGUCAGGAUUGAUUGUUGUUUGUUGAAUUUGAACAGAUCUAACACUAUUCUUUUUUCUAAACUUUUUUGUGAUUAUGUCUUAUGUGGAUACCAUACUCUUUUU